rnacentral:lncRNA from 1 species
UUAGAUUUUUUCCUUUUCCGAUUCUCACUCAAUUCUCCAUCAUUUCUCUUGAUCUUUGGUUGUCUUAAGUCCUACCAAUAUAAGCAACAAUAUUGAGUUGCUUUGAGGCCAAAUCGAAGCAACUCAGUUCUUCCACCUCAAUUUUCAAUUCCACAUAUCUACUUAUAUAGUGAGAAUUGGGAAAUUUAGAGGCCAGAUUCGUGCUCUCCGGCGUUUUUCCUUUGAAUUGGUAUAUAGAUCUUAAAUUUUGGUGAACUUUGG